AGUAUAAAAGAAUGUUUACAAAUAUCUUAACUUGCAACGUGUAACUGGCUACAUAUCAGUGUUGUUCAUGUUUAACCGUGAAAUGCAAUCAGAUCAUUUUAUAAAGUUAAGUUAUCACAUUGGUUUAAAAUAAAGUUAUUCUAUUGGUUUAAGAUUAAGAUGAGCUAUUUAAUCCACAAUAUCUGAAGCUAGGCUGUUCAACAAGCUAUGCAAAUUACAGUAUUGCCAGGCUGUACUUGACAACUUACCUUCCUGCAACAAAAUUAAAUUUUUUGUUCAGGAGUAUAAUUAAAUUAGAGUGUCCAAUUUUUGAAAUAUUAAUUUCAGCAAAUAUCAACUUGAAAUUUCAACAAAUAUCAAUUUUAUAUUAUGUUAUUAGUGAUCUCAAGAUAAAAAAUGGACCAAUGAU